AUACGGAGGGUGCAAGCGUUACUCGGAAUCACUGGGCGUAAAGCGCAUGCAGGCGGUCUAAUAAGUUGGAAGUGAAAGCCCAUGGCUCAACCAUAGAACUGCUUCCAAAACUGUUAGACUAGAGUCUGGGAGGGGAAGAUGGAAUUAGUAGUGUAGGGGUAAAAUCCGUAGAGAUUACUAGGAAUACCAAAAGCGAAGGCGAUCUUCUGGAACAGUACUGACGCUGAGAUGCGAAAGCGUGGGGAGCAAACAGGAUUAGAUACCCUAGUAGUCC
rnacentral:rRNA from 1 species